UACCUGCCACGCUUUAGCAGCACGUAAAUAUUGGCGUGUGAGAAUAAACCCCAACCCCAAUAUUAGCAGUGCUGCUUCAGUGUGGCUGGAUCA
rnacentral:pre_miRNA from 1 species